CGCUCUCUGGGAUGUACGAGUCGAAGUUUUGAGGCAUUGACCAACAUUUGAAGUGAAGGUUUUCGGUCAAAGUCACGGUGAGCCUGCCCAUCAUCGAAUGGGACGCCUGAAGUGGCUUUCAGAGAACCCCAAUAAGUUUCUGGUUAAAACUUCGAAACCUUACCCGGCAUCCCGGAGAAUUU
rnacentral:other from 1 species